rnacentral:rRNA from 1 species
UACGGAGGGGGCUAGCGUUGUUCGGAAUUACUGGGCGUAAAGCGCACGUAGGCGGCUUUGUAAGUUAGAGGUGAAAGCCCAGGGCUUAACCCUGGAAUUGCCUUUAAGACUGCAUCGCUAGAAUCGUGGAGAGGUGAGUGGAAUUCCGAGUGUAGAGGUGAAAUUCGUAGAUAUUCGGAAGAACACCGGUGGCGAAGGCGGUGAGCUGGGCAGUUGCUGACACUGAGGCGCGACAGCGUGGGGAGCAAACAGGG